rnacentral:rRNA from 1 species
CCUACGGGAGGCAGCAGUGAGGAAUAUUGGUCAAUGGACGAGAGUCUGAACCAGCCAAGUAGCGUGAAGGAUGACUGCCCUAUGGGUUGUAAACUUCUUUUAUAUGGGAAUAAAACAGGGUAUGCAUACCCUCUUGUCUGUACCAUAUGAAUAAGGAUCGGCUAACUCCGUGCCAGCAGCCGCGGUAAUACGGAGGAUGCGAGCGUUAUCCGGAUUUAUUGGGUUUAAAGGGUGCGUAGGCGGGAUGCCAAGUCAGCGGUCAAAUACGGGGGCUCAACCUGGGUCCGCCGUUGAAACUGGCGUUCUUGAGUGGGCGAGAAGUACGCGGAAUGCGUGGUGUAGCGGUGAAAUGCAUAGAUAUCGCGCAGAACCCCGAUUGCGAAGGCAGCGUACCGGCGCCCGACUGACGCUGAGGCACGAAAGCGUGGGUAUCGAACAGGAUUAGAUACCCGGGUAGUC